UUCCACCCAUUUCAGGUUCAGUAUAGACUGUAGAUAGCUGAUCUCAUCGAGGACUACAGUGGGAUCUGCAUUUUUCCAAACCGUAGGUUCACAGUCCUCUUUACUUUUGUUUAUUCGGGGGCACUCUUGUUAUUGUAAAUUAAAUUAAAUAUUUUGGCUUACUGUAUUUAAGUAUGUAUAAAUUUAUUUAGCUUUUACGCUACAAAAAUUAUUCACGUAUAACUCUAUAAAUAUUGUUUUAUAAGAAAAUA
rnacentral:lncRNA from 1 species